CAAGGUCUCCGUUGGUGAACCAGCGGAGGGAUCAUUACCGAGUUUACAACUCCCAAACCCAAUGUGAACGUUACCAAACUGUUGCCUCGGCGGGAUCUUCUGCCCCGGGUGCGUCGCAGCCCCGGACCAAGGCGCCCGCCGGAGGACCAACCAAAACUCUUUUUGUAUACCCCCUCGCGGGUUUUUUUAUAAUCUGAGCCUUCUCGGCGCCUCUCGUAGGCGUUUCGAAAAUGAAUCAAAACUUUCAACAACGGAUCUCUUGGUUCUGGCAUCGAUGAAGAACGCAGCGAAAUGCGAUAAGUAAUGUGAAUUGCAGAAUUCAGUGAAUCAUCGAAUCUUUGAACGCACAUUGCGCCCGCCAGUAUUCUGGCGGGCAUGCCUGUCCGAGCGUCAUUUCAACCCUCGAACCCCUCCGGGGGGUCGGCGUUGGGGAUCGGCCUCCUCUCACGGGGGCCGUCUCCGAAAUACAGUGGCGGUCUCGCCGCAGCCUCUCCUGCGCAGUAGCUUGCACACUCGCAUCGGGAGCGCGGCGCGUCCACAGCCGUUAAACACCCCAAAUUCUGAAAUGUUGACCUCGGAUCAGGUAGGAAUACCCGCUGAACUUAAGCAUAUC
rnacentral:sRNA from 1 species